AUUGAACGCUGGCGGCAUGCCUUACACAUGCAAGUCGAACGGCAGCACGGGAGCAAUCCUGGUGGCGAGUGGCGAACGGGUGAGUAAUAUAUCGGAACGUGCCCAGUCGUGGGGGAUAACGUAGCGAAAGCUACGCUAAUACCGCAUACGAUCUAUGGAUGAAAGCGGGGGAUCGCAAGACCUCGCGCGAUUGGAGCGGCCGAUAUCAGAUUAGGUAGUUGGUGAGGUAAAGGCUCACCAAGCCGACGAUCUGUAGCUGGUCUGAGAGGACGACCAGCCACACUGGGACUGAGACACGGCCCAGACUCCUACGGGAGGCAGCAGUGGGGAAUUUUGGACAAUGGGCGCAAGCCUGAUCCAGCAAUGCCGCGUGCAGGAUGAAGGCCUUCGGGUUGUAAACUGCUUUUGUACGGAACGAAAAGGUUUCUCUUAAUACGAGGAGCUCAUGACGGUACCGUAAGAAUAAGCACCGGCUAACUACGUG
rnacentral:rRNA from 1 species